GAUUUUUUCCUAGAUCCGCCCCUGUAUGUAAAAACUGAAAAGUUGAUUUAUUUUGAAACGGGGAGUAAGUGACAAGCUGAAACUUCAUUCCUUUUCUUCUUUAUCCCAACACAUGAUUCAUGCAGUGCAAAGCUCUUAUUUUAUCAGCAUAUACAAAUAGUAUGAUUGGUCUAUAUAUCUGUACGGCAAGCAAGCUAGCUAGCAAACAGCCCACGACGACACCAAGCUCGUCGCUUUCGUCGAUUGAUUGACCGGCCGGCCGGUCGCUAGCUAAUCAAGUUUGGAUCAUGGACAGAAGACGAUGCGGUAG
rnacentral:lncRNA from 1 species